UACGAAGGGUGCAAGCGUUAAUCGGAAUUACUGGGCGUAAAGCGUGCGUAGGUGGUUUCUUAAGUCUGCUGUGAAAGCCCUGGGCUCAACCUGGGAAUGGCGGUGGAUACUGAGGAGCUAGAGUGCGGUAGAGGAGGGUGGAAUUCCCGGUGUAGCGGUGAAAUGCGUAGAGAUCGGGAGGAACAUCAUUGGCGAAGGCGGCCCUCUGGACCAGCACUGACGCUGAGGCACGAAAGCGUGGGGAGCAAACAGG
rnacentral:rRNA from 1 species